UAUCAAUAAGGGAUACCUUGGAUAAGUGCCUUCAUGCCAAGAUAGGACACGUGAAGAAGCCUCCACACCAAGAAGGAAUUAGUGUCCGCCCCUUCUUAAUUUUGUAGCACAACCCACUUAUUUUUCUCCGUGCACUCACUUUCUCUUGUCACACAAAUCAGAUCUUAUCUCAUGGUGAUUAGUGGUCUCCCCUUUAAAUAGAUUAGGCAUCUUAAAUCUGGUCAAAGAUAUAAGGAGUUAGGACUCCUUAUCCAAAUAGAAAACCCAUGCA
rnacentral:lncRNA from 1 species